UACGUAGGGUGCGAGCGUUAAUCGGAAUUACUGGGCGUAAAGUGUGCGCAGGCGGCCGCGCAAGUCGAGUGUGAAAGCCCCGAGCUUAACUUGGGAAUUGCGCUCGAAACUACGUGGCUGGAGUGUGGCAGAGGAAGGUGGAAUUCCACGUGUAGCGGUGAAAUGCGUAGAGAUGUGGAGGAACACCGAUGGCGAAGGCGACUACCUGGCCUGUUCUUGACGCUGAGGCGCGAAAGCUAGGGGAGCAAACGGG
rnacentral:rRNA from 1 species